UCAUUCAAACUUAUCGUCGCCUGAAAAU
rnacentral:sRNA from 1 species